ensembl:snoRNA
UAGACCAAUGAUCACAACUGGUAGCAUGUUAAUUAGGAACAAUGAAUGUCUGGAGCUCCAAGGUCCAA